UACGUAGGGGGCAAGCGUUGUCCGGAAUUAUUGGGCGUAAAGCGCGUGUAGGCGGUCCGGUAAGUCGGUUGUGAAAGGCCUGGGCUCAACCUGGGAACGGCAUCCGAUACGGUCAGACUUGAGUGUGGGAGAGGUUGGUGGAAUUCCCAGUGUAGAGGUGAAAUUCGUAGAUAUUGGGAAGAACACCGGUGGCGAAGGCGGCCAACUGGACCACAACUGACGCUGAGGCGCGAAAGCGUGGGGAGCAAACAGG
rnacentral:rRNA from 1 species